rfam:Triticum aestivum genome assembly, contig: Triticum_aestivum_CS42_TGACv1_scaffold_165383_2DL
AAAGUACUCCCUCCGUCCCAAAAUUCUUGUCUUAGAUUUGUCUAGAUACAGAUGUAUCAAGUCACAUUUUAGUAUUAGAUACAUCCGUAUCUAGACAAAUCUAAGACAAGAAAUUGGGGACAGAGGGAGUAGUUG